UUUGCUUUGAUGAGAUGGCUCAAUGUAUGCUUUGCACUUUUCUAGCCACUGGAGCCGUCACACACCUAAAGGCAGUGCCCUUGAAUCUAACUGGAAUGCAACGUUAGCAUAUGAAAAGAAGUAUCCAGAGGAAGCUGCAGAGUUGAAAUGUGAAUUACCUGCUGGCUGGGAGAAGGCACUACCAGUAAGUUAAACUCUCAGCUUACAAUCCAGUUGCUAUAUUCUAGAUAUGUAGGUUUACAACAUCUUUUGUCUUUUUACAGACAUACACACCAG
rnacentral:lncRNA from 1 species